ensembl:lncRNA
AGGCUCCCGCUCUUCUGAGAAUCAAGGCCACCAUGACCUGAGGACUCUGCUUCCAUUUCAGCUCCUGAGACGCUGAAGGGGGAGGAGGAAGAGCACUCCAGCCUCAGGCCCUGAAGAUAUUCAGACAACCCUACUUAAAGGCAGAUGAGGAAGUGCCCGCUGGGCCCAUUAGCCCAGAAGCAGCAGCAACACAUUUGAGUCAAGAGGGUCAGCCAGCCCUUGAAAGUGCACACCUGACUCUCCUAGGCGAGGAGCCCAGAUUAUCUCUGCUUUGAUGAGCUGGCCCUGGCUGCAUCUUCACAGAGCUAUGGGUCUGUAGCUAUCCCUCAUAUGUUUUCUCCAGGACUCAAGUCCCAUGAAACAGCCCCAACUGCCAAAGACAGCUCUUUCCGAAACCCCAGGGAAUAGUGAUUUAACCUGAGACUCCCCCACUAAGCCACAGUGUGCCAGCUAUUUGGGUCACACCACCCUGCAUCUCUCAAUCCUCUAGCAGGCACUCCAAUUACUCAUCAAUGCAAGCAAGUAUUCAUUGAGUGCCUACUAUGUGCAAGAUAUAGGGGAUACAGCUGAAAGCAGAGACAUCCUGUCCUUGCUGACUGAGUAAGCUUACAAUUUUGGUGGAUUACUUUUCCAACCUCUUCUCUUGUCUUCCUGAUAGCAUCCACCAACAUGGACUUCACCUCAUCCAAGCCUGGGACUGAGGCAAUACAUGUGACACUCUCAGAUGGCCUUUGUGGUAUCCUGCUUCUCUGAGUGUGUUUCCCCUCUGGGAGGCUGUAUGUUCCUCAGGCAAAGACACUUCCAUUUGGUCUCCUCAUCCCCACAGGACUGAUCCAGGGACUGACCACUCAAUACGCAUUUGUGGGAUGGAGCAGAAUGAAACAGGAAACCCAAUGCUAGGUGGUUUUUCUCUGGGCAGCACAGCAAGCCACCAACAGCCCCAGAGGCCACCAGAGAAAGACGCUCCGCUUUGGCCUUUUCAGCCACAUGUUGGCAAAGCUACUCUACAUACAAAAGGGUGAGCCAGCUGGCCAAGUGCAGCCCAUGUUGAUACAAAAAUGAGAAGUGUCUGCAGGAAACACAGGUGGCCACAGCCUCUGUCUCCACGAGGAAUGGUAAGGGAGCUUCAGGGCUGGGUGUCACCAUGACUCCACAGAUGUGUGGGAAUGUGAGUAGGCCUGGGCCUGGGGGCUACCAGUG